CGUCGAGCUCUCCUUCGCCGACGCCUUCCUCCUCCGCGAUCUCGCCUUCAACCUCCUUCUCCUCCGCGAUCUCGCCUUCAACCCAGAUCCCUGUCUCUCUAAUUAACUUCGUCCUCGUCUCUUUUCAAAAAAUUUCUUAGCAUGCUACUCCACUUGUUAAUUCAAAUCCUUUCUGAUAUGACUGUUAUAAGAUGUACGUCGGAUGAAGCAUAGCAGCAAAGAAGUCGAAGUUAAUGGUUGUUAAUGGUUAGAAAUUUGGGAUUUGAGAUCAACGAAGUCGAAGUUAAUGGUUGUUCUUGGGCUCUAUGCUUAGCUAUCGUCAUCAAGGGACUCUGUCGCUAGCUGCUAUGCUUCAUCGCCAGUUGAAUUUUCUACUUCUGUAGUGAAAUUUAUAACAUCGGUCAAGUCAAUAGACAACAGAGCCAAAAUAUAUCUAUUCCACUUCAAUUGUCUCAUUGUUUUUGUUCCAAUUGGUGUUGCUUUAUAUGAAGGCAUAUUUGGUUUA